AACAGAUCUUAGUAAACAGACUACUUCAGAGCGCCACUAGAGGGCACUGUCACAAAAGAUCCAUUAAACGCAAAUAUAACCAAAGUAAACAAAGGUUUAUUGAAACUGAACACAAUAACCAGAGUAGUAUGGCUCACCACUAAAGGGCGCUGUCACUGAAAAUACAGUACGUGAAGAAGCCAGCUGGCUAGUGUGCCUUUUUCCACCACAAAAAGUUCAAGUUGCUUCAGAAGAUCCUCAAGACGUUCUACACAUGCACCGUCGAGAUCAUCCUGACUGGGAGCAUCAUCACCUGGUUUUGGGAGCACCGUGCAGGACAGCCCAACCCCACACCGAGUGUUGCACAUUGUGUCAAGCACAAUCCAAAAAGCAGAAUUAAAGGUAU